UUGAAUGAGAUCUGAUGCCCUCU
rnacentral:piRNA from 1 species